UGCUUACACAUGCAGUCGAACGAUGAAGCCCAGCUUGCUGGGUGGAUUAGUGGCGAACGGGUGAGUAACACGUGGGUGAUCUGCCCUGCACUUCGGGAUAAGCCUGGGAAACUGGGUCUAAUACCGGAUAGGACCUCGGGAUGCAUGUUCCGGGGUGGAAAGGUUUUCCGGUGCAGGAUGGGCCCGCGGCCUAUCAGCUUGUUGGUGGGGUAACGGCCCACCAAGGCGACGACGGGUAGCCGGCCUGAGAGGGCGACCGGCCACACUGGGACUGAGACACGGCCCAGACUCCUACGGGAGGCAGCAGUGGGGAAUAUUGCACAAUGGGCGCAAGCCUGAUGCAGCGACGCCGCGUGAGGGAUGACGGCCUUCGGGUUGUAAACCUCUUUCAGUACCGACGAAGCGCGAGUGACGGUAGGUACAGAAGAAGCACCGGCCAACUACGUGCCAGCAGCCGCGGUAAUACGUAGGGUGCGAGCGUUGUCCGGAAUUACUGGGCGUAAAGAGCUCGUAGGCGGUUUGUCGCGUCGUCUGUGAAAACCCGCAGCUCAACUGCGGGCUUGCAGGCGAUACGGGCAGACUUGAGUACUGCAGGGGAGACUGGAAUUCCUGGUGUAGCGGUGAAAUGCGCAGAUAUCAGGAGGAACACCGGUGGCGAAGGCGGGUCUCUGGGCAGUAACUGACGCUGAGGAGCGAAAGCGUGGGUAGCGAACAGGAUUAGAUACCCUGGUAGUCCACGCCGUAAACGGUGGGCGCUAGGGUGGGGUUUCCUUCCACGGGAUCCGUGGCCGUAGCUAACGCAUUAAGCGCCCCGCCUGGGGAGUACGGCCGCAAGGCUAAAACUCAAAGGAAUUGACGGGGGCCC
rnacentral:rRNA from 1 species